rnacentral:ncRNA from 1 species
AUUAAUACGAAGAUAGGAAUAAGUAGAUCGAUCAGUUGAAACAGGGAGCGCUUGGUGAGUGAAAAAGCGUCAGUAGAUCAAUUGAAAUGCCUCCUUGAGUGCGCAUACGAAAUCAAGUAGUGUGCGCCGGAUAUCAUUCACGUUAAUGAAUGAAAAGGAAGUUCUUUAGCUUCGAAUAAAAGUGGAACCACGUGUAAAACGUCUUUUGA